rnacentral:rRNA from 1 species
UACGUAGGGUGCAAGCGUUGUCCGGAAUUAUUGGGCGUAAAGAGCUCGUAGGCGGUCUGUCGCGUCUGCUGUGAAAACUCGGGGCUUAACCCCGGGCCUGCAGUGGGUACGGGCAGACUAGAGUGCGGUAGGGGAGACUGGAAUUCCUGGUGUAGCGGUGAAAUGCGCAGAUAUCAGGAGGAACACCGGUGGCGAAGGCGGGUCUCUGGGCCGUAACUGACGCUGAGGCGCGAAAGCGUGGGGAGCAAACAGG